GCCUACGGGGGGCAGCAGUAGGGAAUCUUCCACAAUGGGCGAAAGCCUGAUGGAGCAACGCCGCGUGGGUGAAGAAGGUCUCCGGAUCGUAAAACCCUGUUGUUAGAGAAGAAAGUGCGUGAGAGUAACUGUUCACGUUUCGACGGUAUCUAACCAGAAAGCCACGGCUAACUACGUGCCAGCAGCCGCGGUAAUACGUAGGUGGCAAGCGUUAUCCGGAUUUAUUGGGCGUAAAGGGAACGCAGGCGGUCUUUUAAGUCUGAUGUGAAAGCCUUCGGCUUAACCGGAGUAGUGCAUUGGAAACU
rnacentral:rRNA from 1 species